CAGGCUUUAUAGACCUGGAUCUUGCUGUAUGCCGUCAGCUUCUUAUUAAGCCAUACUCUCUUACCCCUGUUAAAUUUCAUGCUGUUGCUUUCGGCCCAGGGCUCCAUCCGUUUAAAGGCAGGCCCUUAUAAGGCACAGGAGCAGGGCAGAGAGGGGAAGUUGGCAACACCGGGAGCUUAGCUUUUACGUGGUGGACCUUUUCCCCCCUUUGACUAGGUGGCGAACGGGAGAGGGGACGAGGUUGCCGCUUCCUCGCCGCAGAUCCAGCUUGCUUGCUCGUUCGCUUGCUUGCUCGCCUCCCAAGUCGGCGGCUCCUCUUCUUGCUGCCGCCGCCAACGGGGCAGGAUCGGCUACGCGCGCGCGGGGAGCGGGGAGGGGGGGGAGGUUUGUGCAGUGACGUCACGGAGCCUCCGGCCAGCACAACGUUUUCCAUUGAGGGGAGCGCGGAGCGCGUGCUCUGGCGAGCACAUGGGCCGCAAGCAAGCAAGCAACACCGCCGGGGCUGGAGUCCUUCGCGCUGCAGAGAGCGCGGCCUGCUCCGGAUUGAUCCCCUUUGCCGUGCAUUUCUUUUGCAGCGGAUUUAUCGCUCGCUCCAAAAACAAUGAAGAAGCAAAGCAAAAAAAAAAGGGGGGGCGAAGAAGAGAGCUAGGAGCAACUUUGCAAACGCUUCGGCAUGAUUGGGGAGAACUCGGCGUGGCCCGCGGAGGGGUGAUAAAAAAGAAAUCAGGGACUGAAAUCAACUGAAUGUGCUACUUUGGCACCCAGGGAGAAGGGAAGAAGAAACUGUUACAGGAUGAUGGCUGCUUUCAGUGACACUUCAAAAAAAUUGGACUUGAACUGACAAGUUUGGGCAUGUUUACAGUGGCCUAUAUUUAGUCCCUGCCACAAUUAGUCAUUUGGCAAUUGCUGCCACGGAAGUGUCCAACCUUUUCUUUGAUGUGCCUGCUUUUUUGGACAAAAUGCCUCUUUUUAGGCCCUUGUGUCUCAAGAACCGGGAUUUGUUGGAAGACACUAUUCCUGAUGUAAUCUUGCACUUCCAGAAUCUCUGUGUCAACCUAUGCAAAAAACAGCAGCUUUGCAGUUGGUUGUAUUUUUGUUGCCCUGUAGCCUUACGGAGCGAAAUUGGGUUGUGUUUGCGAAGGCUUUGCUUUUUUAUCAAGUCACACUGAAUUUUAAUUGGUUUGUGAAAGGAUGGGAAAUUGUUUAUGCAGAUCACCGGUACAAUCAAGGGGUUGAAUCCGUCAACUGAUUUAGGCCAACUGGGACAGAAUUCUUCCUAAAUCUCAAUUUUAGAAGGCCAGAGAUGUUUUUUUAAAAUUUAUGUCCCGUUUCCCCGAUGAUAUCCAGAAUAAUCACAAUGAUCUGUGAUAGAUGUUUUGAAUGGAUAGCCUUUUUUUAAAGUAAUAUCUUGGAAGCCAUCAUUCUGCUGAAAUAAGUGAUGUAGUUCUUAUGGGUUUGCUGAU
rnacentral:lncRNA from 1 species